CCUACGGGAGGCAGCAGUGAGGAAUAUUGGUCAAUGGACGCGAGCCUGAACCAGCCAAGUAGCGUGAAGGAUGACUGCCCUACGGGUUGUAAACUUCUUUUAUAGAGGAGUAAAGUGAGGCACGUGUGCCUUUUUGUAUGUACUUUAUGAAUAAGGAUCGGCUAACUCCGUGCCAGCAGCCGCGGUAAUACGGAGGAUCCGAGCGUUAUCCGGAUUUAUUGGGUUUAAAGGGAGCGUAGAUGGGUUGUUAAGUCAGUUGUGAAAGUUUGCGGCUCAACCGUAAAACUGCAAUUGAUACUGGCAGCCUUGAGUACAGUUGAGGUAGGCGGAAUUCGUGGUGUAGCGGUGAAAUGCUUAGAUAUUACGAAGAACUCCGAUUGCGAAGGCAGCUUACUAAACUGCCACUGACAUUGAGGCUCGAAAGUGUGGGUAUCAAACAGGAUUAGAUACCCUUGUAGUC
rnacentral:rRNA from 1 species